rnacentral:rRNA from 1 species
AGAGUUUGAUCAUGGCUCAGGAUGAACGCUGGCGGCGUGCCUAACACAUGCAAGUCGAACGGACUUACAUUGAAGCCUAGCGAUAUGUAAGUUAGUGGCGGACGGGUGAGUAACGCGUGGGUAACCUGCCUUGUACUGGGGGACAACAGUUGGAAACGACUGCUAAUACCGCAUAAGCGCACAGCUUCGCAUGAAGCAGUGUGAAAAACUCCGGUGGUACAAGAUGGACCCGCGUCUGAUUAGCUGGUUGGUGAGGUAACGGCUCACCAAGGCGACGAUCAGUAGCCGGCCUGAGAGGGUGAACGGCCACAUUGGGACUGAGACACGGCCCAAACUCCUACGGGAGGCAGCAGUGGGGAAUAUUGCACAAUGGGGGAAACCCUGAUGCAGCAACGCCGCGUGAGUGAAGAAGUAUUUCGGUAUGUAAAGCUCUAUCAGCAGGAAAGAAAAUGACGGUACCUGACUAAGAAGCCCCGGCUAACUACGUGCCAGCAGCCGCGGUAAUACGUAGGGGGCAAGCGUUAUCCGGAUUUACUGGGUGUAAAGGGAGCGUAGACGGUUUUGCAAGUCUGAAGUGAAAGCCCGGGGCUUAACCCCGGGACUGCUUUGGAAACUGUAGGACUAGAGUGCAGGAGAGGUAAGUGGAAUUCCUAGUGUAGCGGUGAAAUGCGUAGAUAUUAGGAGGAACACCAGUGGCGAAGGCGACUAACUGGACUGUAACUGACGCUGAGGCGCGAAAGUGUGGGGAGCAAACAGGAUUAGAUACCCUGGUAGUCCACACUGUAAACGAUGAAUGCUAGGUGUAGGGGGUAUCGACCCCUUCUGUGCCGCAGUCAACACAAUAAGCAUUCCGCCUGGGGAGUACGGCCGCAAGGUUGAAACUCAAAGGAAUUGACGGGGGCCCGCACAAGCAGCGGAGCAUGUGGUUUAAUUCGACGCAACGCGAAGAACCUUACCAGGUCUUGACAUCCACUUAAACUUACAGAGAUGUAAGGUGUGCUUGCACAAAGUGAGACAGGUGGUGCAUGGUUGUCGUCAGCUCGUGUCGUGAGAUGUUGGGUUAAGUCCCGCAACGAGCGCAACCCUUAUCUUCAGUUACUAACGCGUAAAGGUGAGGACUCUGAAGAGACUGCCGGGGACAACUCGGAGGAAGGUGGGGACGACGUCAAAUCAUCAUGCCCCUUAUGACCUGGGCUACACACGUGCUACAAUGGCCACGACAGAGAGAAGCGAAAUCGCAAGGUAGAGCGGAACUCAAAAAAGUGGUCCCAGUUCGGAUUGUGGGCUGCAACCCGCCCACAUGAAGUCGGAGUUGCUAGUAAUCGCGGAUCAGCAUGCCGCGGUGAAUACGUUCCCGGGCCUUGUACACACCGCCCGUCACACCAUGGGAGUUGGGAGUGCCCAAAGCCGGUGAGGCAACCGCAAGGAGCCAGCCGUCUAAGGCAAGACCAAUGACUGGGGUGAAGUCGUAACAAGGUA